rnacentral:hammerhead_ribozyme from 1 species
AUUCGGCUGUCGAGUCCCAGAUGUGACGAAACGCGCGUCUUGGAU